UGCGUAGGUGGUUUUUUAAGUUAUCUGUGAAAUUCCUGGGCUCAACCUGGGAAGGCCAGAUAAGACUGGGAGACUUGAGUAUAGGAGAGGGCAGUGGAAUUUCCGGUGUAGCGGUGAAAUGCGUAGAGAUCGGAAGGAACACCAGUGGCGAAGGCGACUGCCUGGCCUGAUACUGACACUGAGGCACGAAAGCGUGGGUAGCAAACA
rnacentral:rRNA from 1 species